rnacentral:rRNA from 1 species
CCUACGGGUGGCAGCAGUGAGGAAUAUUGGUCAAUGGACGAGAGUCUGAACCAGCCAAGUAGCGUGAAGGAUGACUGCCCUAUGGGUUGUAAACUUCUUUUAUAAAGGAAUAAAACGCGGCACGUGUGCCUUUUUGCAUGUACUUUAUGAAUAAGGAUCGGCUAACUCCGUGCCAGCAGCCGCGGUAAUCCGGAGGAGCCGAGCGUUAUCCGGAUUUAUUGGGUUUAAAGGGAGCGUAGAUGGGUUGUUAAGUCAGUUGUGAAAGUUCGCGGCUCAACCGUGGAAUUGCAAUGGAUACUGGCAGGCUUGAGUGCAGGUGAGGUAGGCGGAAUUCGUGGUGUAGCGGUGAAAUGCUUAGAUAUCACGAAGAACCCCGAUUGCGAAGGCAGCUUACUAAACUGUGACUGACAUUGAUGCUCGAAAGUGUGGGUAUCAAACAGGAUUAGAUACCCCAGUAGUC